rnacentral:rRNA from 1 species
UGGGGAAUCUUCCGCAAUGGGCGAAAGCCUGACGGAGCAACGCCGCGUGAGUGAAGACGGCCUUCGGGUUGUAAAGCUCUGUUAUAUGGGACGAACGGGUGUAUGGUCAAUACCCAUACGCCGUGACGGUACCGUAAGAGAAAGCCACGGCUAACUACGUGCCAGCAGCCGCGGUAAUACGUAGGUGGCAAGCGUUGUCCGGAAUCAUUGGGCGUAAAGGGCGCGCAGGCGGUUCGGUAAGUCGGUCUUAAAAGUGCGGGGCUUAACCCCGUGAUGGGAUUGAAACUGCCGGACUGGAGUGUCGGAGAGGAAAGCAGAAUUCCUAGUGUAGCGGUGAAAUGCGUAGAUAUUAGGAGGAAUACCAGUGGCGAAAGCGGCUUUCUGGACGACAACUGACGCUGAGGCGCGAAAGCCAGGGGAGCAAACGGGAUUAGAUACCCCGGUAGUCCUGGCCGUAAACGAUGGAUACUAGGUGUAGGGAGGUAUCGACCCCUUCUGUGCCGGAGUUAACGCAAUAAGUAUCCCGCCUGGGGAGUACGGCCGCAAGGUUGAAAC